UUGAUUACAGUGUAGUACGUAGCAUCAUCUUAUUCAGAUAUAUAAUAUGCUUUUUGCAUAGAAUACUGCUGAACUAAGCCCGACUGGCUUGUGUGAAAAAAUUAUCUCAAGUGAAGUCGUCCAAUGAAUGUGGACUUCUCUUUUGGGUAUAAAAUAGGUGCAAAGUGUUACAUUAAUCUAGGUGUUGUGGUACCCAAAAUGUCAUAUACAAUAAUUGAUAUGAGAUAGUUGAUUUUGGGAAAUUGAAACAUGUCUCUUGAAGAUAAAGUGUCAAAGUAACUUGAUUAUUAACUGACGUUGAAAAACUAUAACUACUUAGUUUCAGCCUCUACCUUCGCCCCCCACUAACACUACUGCUAAGUGCUAACCCUCCUUGAUCUCAGCUAAUACGAAGUCCGCUGACUUCGUCCCUUCGACUUCCAAGUUCCAACUAUCCUGGAAGAACUCAUUUGACAGUAAGCACAACUAUUGGACUAAACUGCAGUUCCUUGUUUGGUUUGCAGUAUGGACAAAGAGGAUAUUUGGAAUACAGUUUCUACAGAAACUACAAACUUAUUCCUAGCAACAUUCUUUAUCCGUCAUGAGAGCUCACAAGUCUUCUCAGUAUGAUCCUUCAGCAAUAAUGGUCUUCUCGGUACGCUCCUUUACCGAUAAUGGGGGGUGGGGACCCAACACUGCACCGUCGUCGUCAUCAUCCAUACAAGUACACAUAUCAGGGCCAGCAUAACAGAAUACAGACCGUCCAUUUAAGCAAGCACAUCCACACCCUUUGUAAUCAUCUUAUUAGAGUGAACUUCUAUAUUUAAAGAAAGGAAAAAGGUAAAAACAAGCUCUCCCCUACUGCCACUAUCACCCCUAUCUCUACUUGUCAAUUCAGUCAAAGGGGAAUUCACAAUCCUACAACGUUUUUCACUCAUCAACAUAUCUCUAAGUUCAAAUAUUACAACUGCAAAAAUGAGGUCAUUGGGUGACAAAAGACAAACCUGCACAUUGCUUAUCUUCUGCCUUUUCCCUUUCGAGCAUCUAUUUAGAUUGAGUUGAGCAUCUUCUGGUUUGUCGAGAGAGGGGAUCUUUUGUAUGAAUGAUAGGAACGCAUCAGUAUGGGAAACAAUAGCAGAAGACCAACAAUGUCGGGAUAAUUCAUCAUCACCAUCAUCAUCUGCAUCUUUCAGGACAAUGGCAUACCUGAAAUUCCAACUCAGGAGGAGCCUCCCUUGGAAGUCUGAAAAAUUCCAAUAAGGCAUUCACAAUCACAUCAGCAAAUUACAGAAGAAUCCUCAAUACAGAUAAAGCUGAGGCAAACUCCAUUCUAAAACAAAAUAAAAGACUAAAGAAUAAUGCAGCUUACCAGUUAUAUAGGAACAAGUUGGAUGCAUCUCGUCAUAGAAAAUAAUCAACAAACACAAUAUCAAUGUCGAGCUGUGACGAACCAUAGAACUCCAUUCCAAACCCAAAAGACUAACGAACAGUGCAGCUUACCAAGUUUCGUAGGAAGAAGUUGGCUAUGCUGUAGAAGUACCAUAUGCAUCUCGUUACAAGACAAAAAAUAACAAAGUUAGUAUCAUAACAAACAAAAUAUCAAUGUCGCCCACAAAGACUAAAGAACAGUGUAGCUUACCAAUUAUAUAGGAAGAAGUUGACUGUAAUCUAAAGGUGCCAUGACCGAAAAGAUGCAUCUCGUAACAGAAAAAAUAUAACAAAGUAAGUACCAAUAAAAAACACAAUACCAAUGUCGAGCCGAACAUGGAAGCUAACCUUUUCACCAUGCUGACUCCUAUAGCAGCAGCAGCACUACUGUUCCACCAUAUGAUAUUCUUGGAGAGGUUCGAUGUGAUUCAGAGUAAGCUUACUAUCCCACCAUAUGAGCCUUAUGGUAAUAAGAAGCAUUUGCUUGGAGGGACCAUGGGUCUUCCAAAUUUCGUGCAACACCAUGCAUGUUUUGUUCUCACCAAAACACAUUGAAGAGAAAGCUAAAUCCUAAUAUAAGAUGUUGAACUUGAGAUAGAAAGUACAAAACAGACAAGGCAUGCUUAUUAAGGCAUCAGAAAUAUUAAGUCCAUUACAAGGCCAAAACACAUCAACAAAUAUUAGUAUGCAGAGCAAGCAAUCAAGUCAAGUUGUUCAAGAUAUGCAAUUCAGUUCCAACAACUCGUAACAUUAAUGCAGGAGCAGCCCUAAAUAAAGCCAAAAUCUUCAUAAGUGAGUAUUUAGAACAAACAUCAAAUCAAGUCGUUCAAGAUAUGCAUUUCAGUUCCCACUAAUCUUAACAUGAAUGCACUAGCAGCCCUAAACAAUGCCAAAAAUGUUUAUUAGCAAGUAUUUAGAAGAAGCAUCAAGUCAAGUUGUUCAAGAUAUGCAUUUCAGUUUCAACUAAUCUUAACAUGAAUGCACUAGCAGCCCUAAACAAUGCCAAAAAUGUUUAUUAGCAAGUAUUUAGAAGAAGCAUCAAGUCAAGUUGUUCAAGAUAUGCAUUUCAGUUUCAACUAAUCUUAACAUGAAUGCACUAGCAGCCCUAAACAAAGUCUAAAUGUUCAUUAGAAGAAGUCAACA
rnacentral:lncRNA from 1 species